UGCAUGCAUGUGUCUCAUGAGUUUAUUAAGA
rnacentral:piRNA from 1 species